AUGAAGUUUGCCAUUGGAGUUAUUGCAAUUCCUCCUCUCCGUUCAACCUGCAGCACUGCUCAUCACUCCGUGGAGUCUGGGUCUACCCACUGGCGGCCCCGAGCCACUACUGUGCCCCUGUCAGGACAUCGAGACCUCCUGGACCCUCUCUGGCAGCUGGCAAGGAUGCCUCCUGACUUUAGCUGCUGCUGUACAAUGCUGCUACAACAUGAAGGACUUUUGAGGAAGGGCAGAUACUGGCCCACAGCUGAUGGGCGCCUCGUUGAAUAAGACAUAGAUGAAGUGGUGUAUGAUGAAGAUUCACCUUGUCAGAAUUAAAAUUCUACACUCGAAGCAAUUUGGGAAUAUUCUCAUCCUUAGUGGGGAUGUUAAUUUGGCAGAGUUGGGGAUGUUAAUUUGGCAGAGUGACUUGGCAUAUACCUGAGCCAUCAUGGGCAGUGGCAAAGACGUACUGGUUUGGGGAGGUGGAGAUGGGGGCAUAUUAUGUGAAAUAGUCAAACUGAAGCCAAAGAUGAUCACUAUGGUAGAGAUUGGCCAAGUGGUGAUUGAUGGAUGUAAGAAAUAUAUGCGGAAAAUGUGCGGUGAUGUCUUAGACAGUCUUAAAGGAGACUGCUAUCAGGUUCUAACAGAAGGCUGCAUUCCAGUACUGAAGAGGUACACCAAAGAAGGGAGAAAGUCUGAUUAUGUGAUUAAUGAUCCAACAGCUGUUCCAAUCUCCACAUCUCCAGAAGAAGAUUCCACAAAGGAGUUUCUCAGACUGAUUCUUGACCUCUAAUGAAAGUGUUGAAACAGGAUGGGAAAUAUUUCACACAGAGGAACUGUGUCAAUCUGACAGAAGCCCUGUCGGUCUAUGAAGAACAGCUUGGGCACCUGUAUUGUCCUGUGGAAUUUGAGAUCAUUUGUGUCCCUUCAUACUUGGAAUUGUGGGUAUUUUACACUGUGUGGAAGAAAGCUAAGCCUUGAAGAUGAAUAUCCCCAAUCACGUGUGCUGUAGAUAACCUUCCUGACCUCCAUAUGCUGUACACGACAUCAAAAUGAGUCAGGCAAUUGAUUGUAAAUCCCUUAAAGUUUUCUUUAAUUAUUAUUUUUAAUUUAAAAGAAAGAAAAUGGGAAAUGCAUAUUUUGAUGAGCUAGCUAGGGUGUUAUUUUUGUUGAAAGUCAGCUGAAGGACAGUUAGACAGCACAGUGAAGACUGCUAAAUGCACUGACCCGCUAGAAUGUGAUUUUUUUUUAUUCCUGUAUGGGCUUUUGUUUGUUUGUUUGGUAGACCUUCAAUUUGGAUGUUUGGAGGAAUGAACAUCA